GACGAACGCUGGCGGCGUGCUUAACACAUGCAAGUCGAGCGGUAAGGCCCUUCGGGGUACACGAGCGGCGAACGGGUGAGUAACACGUGGGUGACCUGCCUUUAGCUCUGGGAUAAGCCUGGGAAACUGGGUCUAAUACCGGAUAUGACCUCAUGACGCAUGUUGUGGGGUGGAAAGCCUUGUGCGGCUAGAGAUGGGCCCGCGGCCUAUCAGCUUGUUGGUGGGGUGANGGCCUACCAAGGCGACGACGGGUAGCCGGCCUGAGAGGGCGACCGGCCACACUGGGACUGAGACACGGCCCAGACUCCUACGGGAGGCAGCAGUGGGGAAUCUUGCGCAAUGGGCGAAAGCCUGACGCAGCGACGCCGCGUGAGGGAUGACGGCCUGG
rnacentral:rRNA from 1 species